rnacentral:rRNA from 1 species
UACGUAGGUGACCAGCGUUGUCCGGAUUUACUGGGCGUAAAGAGCGCGCAGGCGGUCGUUCAAGUCGAGUGUGAAAGCCCCCGGCUCAACUGGGGAGGGUCAUUCGAUACUGAUCGACUCGAAGGCAGGAGAGGGAAGCGGAAUUCCCGGUGUAGUGGUGAAAUGCGUAGAUAUCUGGAGGAACACCGGUGGCGAAGGCGGCAUCCUGGACCGAUACUGACGCUGAGGAGCGAAAGCCAGGGGAGCAAACGGG